GAUGAACGCUAGCGGGAGGCCUAACACAUGCAAGCCGAGCGGUAUUGUUUCUUCGGAAAUGAGAGAGCGGCGUACGGGUGCGGAACACGUGUGCAACCUGCCUUUAUCUGGGGGAUAGCCUUUCGAAAGGAAGAUUAAUACUCCAUAAUAUAUUGAUUGGCAUCAAUUAAUAUUGAAAGCUCCGGCGGAUAGAGAUGGGCACGCGCAAGAUUAGCUAGUUGGUGAGGUAACGGCUCACCAAGGCGAUGAUCUUUAGGGGGCCUGAGAGGGUGAUCCCCCANACUGGUACUGAGACACGGACCAGACUCCCACGGGAGGCAGCAGUGAGGAAUAUUGGUCAAUGGGUGCAGGCCUGAACCAGCCAUCCCGCGUGAAGGACGACUGCCCUAUGGGUUGUAAACUUCUUUUGUAUUAGGGAUAAACCUACCUCGUGAGGGUAGCUGAAGGUACUAUACGAAUAAGCACCGGCUAACUCCGUAGCCAGCAGCCGCGGUAAAGU
rnacentral:rRNA from 1 species